rnacentral:rRNA from 1 species
CCUACGGUUGGCAGCAGUGGGGAAUAUGGGACAAUGGGGGCAACCCUGAUCCAGCCAUGCCGCGUGUGUGAAGAAGGCCCUCGGGUUGUAAAGCACUUUCAGUGAGGAAGAACGCCUGGUGGUUAAUACCCAUCAGGAAAGACAUCACUCACAGAAGAAGCACCGGCUAACUCCGUGCCAGCAGCCGCGGUAAUACGGAGGGUGCGAGCGUUAAUCGGAAUUACUGGGCGUAAAGCGCGCGUAGGUGGCUUGAUAAGCCGGUUGUGAAAGCCCCGGGCUCAACCUGGGAACGGCAUCCGGAACUGUCAAGCUAGAGUGCAGGAGAGGAAGGUAGAAUUCCCGGUGUAGCGGUGAAAUGCGUAGAGAUCGGGAGGAAUACCAGUGGCGAAGGCGGCCUUCUGGACUGACACUGACACUGAGGUGCGAAAGCGUGGGUAGCAAACAGGAUUAGAUACCCUUGUAGUC